rnacentral:rRNA from 1 species
UACGGGGGGGGCAAGCGUUGUUCGGAAUUACUGGGCGUAAAGGGCUCGUAGGUGGCCAACUAAGUCAGACGUGAAAUCCCUCGGCUUAACCGGGGAACUGCGUCUGAUACUGGAUGGCUUGAGUUCGGGAGAGGGAUGCGGAAUUCCAGGUGUAGCGGUGAAAUGCGUAGAUAUCUGGAGGAACACCGGUGGCGAAGGCGGCAUCCUGGACCGACACUGACGCUGAGGCGCGAAGGCCAGGGGAGCAAACGGG